rnacentral:rRNA from 1 species
GACGAACGCUGGCGGCGUGCUUAACACAUGCAAGUCGAACGGACAGGUCCUGCUUUUGUGGGGUGCUCGUUUGGCGCACGGGGGAGUAACACGUGUGUAACCUGCCCCUGACUUUGUGAUAACUUCAGGAAACUGGGGCUCAUACCGGAUAUGAUCUACUGCUGCAUGGUGGGGGUUGGAAAAUUUCGGCGGUUGGGGAUGGACUCGCGGCUUAUCAGCUUGUUGGUGGGGUAGUGGCUUACCAAGGCUUUGACGGGUAGCCGGCCUGAGAGGGUGACCGGCCACAUUGGGACUGAGAUACGGCCCAGACUCCUACGGGAGGCAGCAGUGGGGAAUAUUGCACAAUGGGCGGAAGCCUGAUGCAGCAACGCCGCGUGCGGGAUGACGGCCUUCGGGUUGUAAACCGAUUUCGCCUGUGACGAAGCGUGAGUGACGGUAAUGGGUAAAGAAGCACCGGCUAACUACGUG